rnacentral:rRNA from 1 species
GUAAGCGACCAUAACACGUAGAAAGCACUGGGUCUCGUUCGAUCACCGAAGUUAAGCUACGUAAGGCCCUGUUAGUACUUGCAUGUGAGACCGGCUAAGAAUACCGGGUGCUGAUGACA